UACGAAGGGGGCUAGCGUUGCUCGGAAUGACUGGGCGUAAAGGGCGCGUAGGCGGAUGGCACAGUCAGAUGUGAAAAUUCCCCGGGCUUAACCUGGGGGGCUGCAUUUGAUACGUGUUGUCUAGAGUGAGGAAGAGGGUUGUGGAAUUCCCAGUGUAGAGGUGAAAUUCGUAGAUAUUGGGAAGAACACCGGUGGCGAAGGCGGCAACCUGGUCCUUGACUGACGCUGAGGCGCGAAAGCGUGGGGGAGCAAACAGG
rnacentral:rRNA from 1 species